GGAAGAGAAGCCCUCCCAUAAUACCUAUGAAGAAUCAAGACACUGGCUGGAAGCAGAAUUUCCCUCAGUGCUUAGUACCCAUCAGCAAAGCACAGUAAUAAGGUUACACAAGUCAUUUGGUUAUGAACUCCACAUAAGUCCACCUGAUCACUGGAGAACAAACAAGUAAGUCUCAUCACUUGCCGAGCAGGAAAACUACAACUGUAUCUUACCUUUCUGGAGUUACACAGGCACCAACGGGCAGUGAAGGUCAAGAAAAAACAGAAAGCGAGAGAGGAUGAAAUGUAGAUCAAGAAAGCCAAGCAUCCAGGAAAUAACCCUUGGGAUUUGCAUAUGUAAUGGAUGGAGUUAAAUAGGUAACCGGUCUCAAAGAGGGAAAGGGAAAAAACCAGGAAUAGCUUCUGCUGAAUAUUUUAGCUGAUGUUAUCUCAUUCAUGUGGCAGACCAGUAACAGGAAAAUAAAUGACUCUCAUCCUUUUGGAAUGAAGUAGCUAUAGUAAGUUGUGACCUCAGCAGCUUCCUCCUCUUCCUCAGGCCCAGCCUUUGCUUCUCUCUGUCUCUGGCUAUUGCUCCCUAUUUCAGCCAUCUGGGCAUUUUGUGAAAUCAGUGGGGAGGGAAAUGUAUUAAAGAAAAAAGUCUCCAAAGAUUUUUGCAUUUAUUAAAGGGAUAUUUAAAGGAUGUCAAAGGAUGAUGAGACCAUCAUACAGUAUCCAAUAUAAAAAGUCAAAGCAGCAAGAUAUCAUUAAGAAUUGUCCAGACUUUCACCUCUGUUGUUGAUUCUUCUUGAAGAUGGGAUUUCAUUUGUGAAGACCUGAUUUUCAUUUUGUGUCAAAUGACAAAAUUUCUUUUUUUCUUUUUUUUUUUUUUUCUUCAUUGAAUCACUUAUUGAAACAUCUGCCAGGACAAUGGUUGUGCUGAAGAAUUUGAGACACUGGACAAUAAACAUUAAAUGACUGUGAGACAGGCAAGAAUAAUUAGAAAUACUAUAAGAAGGGACUAGAAUAUACUUUGUUACCAUAACCUGAGACUUUUCAGGCGUGACCAAGAAAACAAGUCCCAAUAUUCCCUAAGCUGCCUUUUUUAUUAACUUAGAUGUAGAUUGUUUUAUUCCACUUGUCAUGUUAGUUCAGGUAGAACAUGAAGUGUUAGUAAUGGUUUUGAUUGGACAAAAAUAAUUCAACACCAUUCUAUCAUCUAUAACCAUAACCAGGAUUAUGAUGGCCUUGGGUG